CAAGUCGAACGCGAAAGUUUCCUUCGGGAGAUGAGUAGAGUGGCGCACGGGUGAGUAACACGUAGGUAAUCUACCUUCGGGUGGGGAAUAACCCAGGGAAACUUGGGCUAACACCGCAUAAUGCAGCGGCACCACAUGGUGACAGUUGUUAAAGCGGGGGAUUUUAGGACCUCGCGCCUGAAGAGGAGCCUGCGGCAGAUUAGCUUGUUGGUAAGGUAACGGCUUACCAAGGCGACGAUCUGUAGCCGGCCUGAGAGGGCGGUCGGCCACACUGACACUGACAUACGGGUCAGACUCCUACGGGAGGCAGCAGUCGGGAAUUUUGGGCAAUGGGCGAAAGCCUGACCCAGCAACGCCGCGUGAAGGAUGAAAUCCCUCGGGAUGUAAACUUCGCAAGAAUAGGAAGAAUUAGUAGGGGUUAAUACCCCCUAUGAUGACGGUACUAUUUGUAAGCUCCGGCUAACUCCGUGCCAGCAGCCGCGGUAAUACGGGGGGAGCAAGCGUUGUUCGGAUUUACUGGGCGUAAAGGGCGCGUAGGCGGUCAGCACAAGUCAGUUGUGAAAUCUCCGGGCUUAACUCGGAAAGGUCAACUGAUACUGUGCGACUAGAGUGCGGAAGGGGCAACUGGAAUUCUCGGUGUAGCGGUGAAAUGCGUAGAUAUCGAGAGGAACACCUGCGGCGAAGGCGGGUUGCUGGGCCGACACUGACGCUGAUGCGCGAAAGCCAGGGGAGCGAACGGGAUUAGAUACCCCGGUAGUCCUGGCCUUAAACGAUGGAUGCUUGGUGUCUGGAGUUUUAUAGUCUCCGGGUGCCGUAGCUAACGCGUUAAGCAUCCCGCCUGGGGAGUACGGUCGCAAGACUGAAACUCAAAGGAAUUGACGGGGACCCCACAAGCGGUGGAGCAUGUGG
rnacentral:rRNA from 1 species